rnacentral:rRNA from 1 species
AUUGAACGCUGGCGGCAGGCCUAACACAUGCAAGUCGAACGAGUGGCGGACGGGUGAGUAAUGUCUGGGAAACUGCCUGAUGGAGGGGGAUAACUACUGGAAACGGUAGCUAAUACCGCAUACCAUCAGAUGUGCCCAGAUGGGAUUAGCUAGUUGGUGGGGUAACGGCUCACCAAGGCGACGAUCCCUAGCUGGUCUGCGAGGAUGACCAGCCACACUGGAACUUGGGCACGGGCCAGAAUCCUGCGGGAGGCAGCAGUGGGGAAUAAUGCACAAUGGGCGGAAGCCUGAUGCAGGCAGGCCGCGUGGAUGAAGAAGGCCUUCGGGUUGUAAAGUACUUUCAGCGGGGAGGCGUUACCCGCAGAAGAAGCACCGGCUAACUCCGUGCCAGCCGCCGCGGUAAUAC